CUCCUCAAGAUCAUUUAUCAAGAAAAUCCUUCUUGUGGCAAGAUCAUCACAUCUUGGCUUAUCUUUCCUUGAAGGUGGUGCGUCCUCACUUUCUUGUCUACCAUCUUUGGAGUUUUCUUUUGCGUCUUGGAGCCAUGGAUAAAGAUCGAAGGAAGUAGGAAGCAAAGUGGAUGAAUUCACCAAUUAUUCUUCACCUAGUUUCCAUCAUUUUGGUAUCAUGAGCCUUGGUUCUCAUCCAUGGAGGUGCCAAGAUCAUAAGUACACCUUUGGGGGUUCACUUCAAUCUCACAAAGGAGCACUCACCUAAGACAGAUGAAGAAAAGGCAACAAUGGCUAAGGUUCGUUAUGCAUCUGCAGUUGGUAGCUUAAUGUAUGCAAUGGUAUGCACUAGACCAGACAUUGCUUAUGCAGUGAGAGUUGUUAGCAGAUUUAUGUCUAAUCUAGGAAGGAAGCAUUGGGAAGCUGUCAAGUGGUUGCUACAUUACUUAAAAGAUUUGGGAGGUUGUUCAGACACAAGGAAAAGUACUACAGGAUUUAUUUCCAUAGUAGGUGGCACAACAGUUAGUUGGAUGUCUUGACUUCAAAAAAGUGUUACACUUUCAACCACAGAAGCAUAGUACAUGGCUAUUUCAGAAGCCGAUAUGGAAAUGAUUUGGUUGAAGAAUUUUCUUAAAGAGUCGGGCAAGAAACAGUGUGACAAUGCUCUUUAUAGCGAUAAUCAGAGUGUCAUUCAUCUUGCAAAGAAUCUUGUGUUCCAUGCGAAGAAAAAGCACAUCCAAUUGAGAUACCACUUCAUUAGAGGACUAAUCAGUGAUGAUAUUUUGUUCUUGAAGAAGAUCCCUAGGUUAGAGAAUCCUGCAAAUAUGUUGACCAAGGUGGUUACUAUUGAGAAGUUGAAACUUUGUAUAGCUUCAACUGGCCUUCAUGGUUAAUUGUUGAGAAGGCAUCGUGCUAGCUUGGAGGUGUUACAGUUUUGAGGUUUAGUAGUUUACUUUGGA